rnacentral:rRNA from 1 species
UACGUAGGGCGCAAGCGUUGUCCGGAAUUAUUGGGCGUAAAGAGCUCGUAGGCGGCCAGUCGCGUCUGCUGUGAAAUCCCGGGGCUCAACCCCGGGCGUGCAGUGGAUACGGGCUGGCUGGAGGCAGGCAGGGGAGAACGGAAUUCCCGGUGUAGCGGUGAAAUGCGCAGAUAUCGGGAGGAACACCGGUGGCGAAGGCGGUUCUCUGGGCCUGUACUGACGCUGAGGAGCGAAAGCGUGGGGAGCGAACAGG